rnacentral:rRNA from 1 species
AGAGUUUGAUCCUGGCUCAGGAUGAACGCUAGCUACAGGCUUAACACAUGCAAGUCGAGGGGAAACGACAUCGAAAGCUUGCUUUUAAUGAGCGUCGACCGGCGCACGGGUGAGUAACGCGUAUCCAACCUGCCCAUCACUUGGGGAUAACCUUGCGAAAGUAAGACUAAUACCCAAUGACGUCUCUAGAAGACAUCUGAAAGAGAUUAAAGAUUUAUCGGUGAUGGAUGGGGAUGCGUCUGAUUAGCUUGUUGGCGGGGCAACGGCCACCAAGGCGACGAUCAGUAGGGGUUCUGAGAGGAAGGUCCCCACAUUGGAACUGAGACACGGUCCAAACUCCUACGGGAGCA